ACUCCCCGAGCCUGCUACAUCUUUACCCACAUUUGAACCCCUACUCGUGAGCAUGAUUCGACUAUGAUUAUCAUUGUCGGGAAAGCACCUUUGCACAGAGUUCCAAGAGUCGGCACCCCACAUGUCAUCUAAUACAAUCAGGUUAAAAGGCCUAAUAGGAUUGCUCGCACCUUGUAUUCUUGUGAAAUUGUGGUCCAAGCACAGAUAUCAAAGUGAGAAGCAAUGGAUUGAUCAUCAUAGAGAGUUCGAGCAAGGGUGGUUUUACCUAUCCCACCCAUUCCGAGGAUGGGGAUGAUCUCCAGCUUGCUCUCCUGUCCUCUCAGCCGAUCCAUCAACUCCAUCAAAUCUUGAUCAAGUCCCACCACAGUGUUCUUGGCAGGCGAGAACGAAGCAGCAACAGCAGCAGCAGCAGCCGCAACAGAUGAACUAGUUGUCGAUAUUUGUAUCCCAUUGACAAACGACAUCACAGAAUGAAGCUGUUGGAUCACUUGCUCCAAAUCUGGUGGGUAAAUUGUGAAGCUCGAGCUUUCAGACAUCACCUGAUUGACCAUGUGGGAUUCAAUGAUGUCCUCUGCUUCAUGUGCUGCAUCUUGGAUUUGACUCUCUAAUCUUUCCCUUUUGGGGCCACUUGGCACAACAGAUUUUUCAAGAAUCUGUUUCAAAGAAGUUGCUAUUUCUAGGAGGGAUAUUAGUUGUGGUUGAACGUCAUCAAAAUCCCAUCGCUCUUGAUCAGGUUUCAGGAUUUCCUGGAGAAUUAUGAUGAGAGGUUUUAGAUUGUAAGCCAUUUUUCUGCUCUCUCUCUCUCUCUCUCAAAAACACAAGUAAAAUAACAGCAGCACUUGCAACAAGCAAACAGAAAAAUGUUGUAUAUUUUAUAUGUUGCAAGUUGGCUGCAGUUGACCUUUUGUGAAGUGUGAACGAAGAUGGUUGUUACAUGUGAGCUGUUAAUAUAAAACUGUGACGGCUAAUAUUAAUAAUAUAUGGAUUAAUCUUUA